rnacentral:rRNA from 1 species
UACGUAGGGUGCGAGCGUUGUCCGGAAUUAUUGGGCGUAAAGGGCUCGUAGGCGGUUUGUCGCGUCGGGAGUGAAAUCCACUGGCUUAACUGGUGGCUUGCUUUCGAUACGGGCAGACUGGAGGUAUGCAGGGGAGAACGGAAUUCCUGGUGUAGCGGUGAAAUGCGCAGAUAUCAGGAGGAACACCGGUGGCGAAGGCGGUCC